GGCUGCCUCUGUAUCUGAAUUUAAAAUGAAGUGAGAUGCCCUUUCCUCCCCAGUCACAGUCGGCGGCCAAGAUCCGCCCUUCAGGAUCACCGUCAGGGGUGCCAUAUGCUGGCAGGCUUGUUUUCCUGCCUCAGACACCU
rnacentral:snoRNA from 1 species